GACGAACGCUGGCGGCGUGCCUAAUACAUGCAAGUCGAACGGCAGCACGGGAGCAAUCCUGGUGGCGAGUGGCGAACGGGUGAGUAAAGUAUCGGAACGUGCCCAGUCGUGGGGGAUAACGUAGCGAAAGUUACGCUAAUACCGCAUACGAUCUAUGGAUGAAAGCGGGGGAUCGCAAGACCUCGCGCGAUUGGAGCGGCCGAUAUCAGAUUAGGUAGUUGGUGGGGUAAAGGCUCACCAAGCCGACGAUCUGUAGCUGGUCUGAGAUGACGACCAGCCACACUGGGACUGAGACACGGCCCAGACUCCUACGGGAGGCAGCAGUGGGGAAUUUUGGACAAUGGGCGAAAGCCUGAUCCAGCCAUGCCGCGUGCAGGAUGAAGGCCUUCGGGUUGUAAACUGCUUUUGUACGGAACGAAAAGGUUUGGCCUAAUAAGCUGAGCUCAUGACGGUACCGUAAGAAUAAGCACCGGCUAACUACGUGCCAGCCGCCGCAGUAA
rnacentral:rRNA from 1 species